rnacentral:rRNA from 1 species
ACGAACGCUGGCGGCGUGCUUAACACAUGCAAGUCGAACGGAAAGGCCCUGCUUUUGUGGGGUGCUCGAGUGGCGAGCGGGUGAGUAACACGUGAGUAACCUGCCCUUGACUUUGGGAUAACUUCAGGAAACUGGGGCUAAUACCGGAUAGGAGCUCCUGCUGCAUGGUGGGGGUUGGAAAGUUUCGGCGGUUGGGGAUGGACUCGCGGCUUAUCAGCUUGUUGGUGGGGUAGUGGCUUACCAAGGCUUUGACGGGUAGCCGGCCUGAGAGGGUGACCGGCCACAUUGGGACUGAGAUACGGCCCAGACUCCUACGGGAGGCAGCAGUGGGGAAUAUUGCACAAUGGGCGGAAGCCUGAUGCAGCAACGCCGCGUGCGGGAUGACGGCCUUCGGGUUGUAAACCGCUUUCGCCUGUGACGAAGCGUGAGUGACGGUAAUGGGUAAAGAAGCACCGGCUAACUACGU